rnacentral:rRNA from 1 species
UCAGACGAUGCGUCAUGCAUAUCAAUAAGCGGAGGAAAAGAAACUAACAAGGAUUCCCCUAGUAACGGCGAGUGAAGCGGGAAGAGCUCAAAUUUGAAAUCUUAAAGGGUUUCCCUUUACGAAUUGUAGUUUAAAGAAGUGUUUUCUGUUGAGGUUUUGGUAAAAGUUCUUUGGAAUAGGACAUCAUAGAGGGUGAGAAUCCCGUAUUUGACCUUUACUUUCAACUUUGUGAUACACUUUCAAAGAGUCGGAUUGUUUGGGAAUGCAGUCCAAAAUGGGUGGUAAAUUUCAUCUAAAGCUAAAUAUUGGCGAGAGACCGAUAGCGAACAAGUACCGUGAGGGAAGGACGAAAAGAACUUUGAAAAGAGAGUUAAACAGUACGUGAAAUUGUCAAAAGGGAAGCGUUUGACACCAGUGUUGUUUUUCUGAAAAUCAAUUAAAGAACUGUUUAUGCUAAGCUGUUUAGACUUUAUCAGCUAUCUGUUUAGUUUUGAGCUUUUCUUUAAUGCACUUUUCAGUUAACAAGUCAACAUCAAUUUCUUUUGCUGUAAAAAAGCUUGAGGAAGGUGGCUUGAGAUUCGUCUUAAGUGUUUAUAGCCUCUUGCCUAUGCAGUCGGAGAGAUUGAGGUCUGCAGCGUAGAUCCUUCGGGGCUAAAUGCAUUUGUGCUAAGUUAUAGCAUUUUAUAGACAACUUGUUGACUAUGAUUUGUCUUGUAGCUUACUCGCUUAUGUUAUUUUACCUACGCUUAGGAUGUUGAAUCUGUGCGAGACUAC